rnacentral:rRNA from 1 species
CCAGACUCCUACGGGAGGCAGCAGUGGGGAAUAUUGCACAAUGGGGGAAACCCUGAUGCAGUGACGCCGCGUGAGUGAAGAAGUAUUUCGGUAUGUAAAGCUCUAUCAGCAGGGAAGAAAAAAGACGGUACCUGACUAAGAAGCCCCGGCUAACUACGUGCCAGCAGCCGCGGUAAUACGUAGGGGGCAAGCGUUAUCCGGAUUUACUGGGUGUAAAGGGAGCGUAGACGGCAAUACAAGUCGGAAGUGAAAUACCCGGGCUCAACCUGGGAACUGCUUUGGAAACUGUAUGGCUGGAGUGCUGGAGAGGUAAGCGGAAUUCCUAGUGUAGCGGUGAAAUGCGUAGAUAUUAGGAAGAACACCAGUGGCGAAGGCGGCUUGCUGGACAGUAACUGACGUUGAGGCUCGAAAGCGUGGGGAGCAAACAGGAUUAGAUACCCCCGUAC